AAGUUUAAAGUUCCCUUUUAUUUUUUUGGUGAAAAAUAGAAAAUGUAAGAUUUGAUUUCCAAAGUCAUUUGAUAGUUGAUGAGUAACCAAAGUUGUUACUUCUACCUAGUUCUUGGGUCAAUACUCUUUGAAGGAAUACCAUUUUAAAAGCAAUGAAUAAAAUUUCAUUUCUUUGGAAUUGAAUCAAAUCUUAUACAUGAAAAAGCCUCAUCUAAAUCAAACAAUGUCAAGC
rnacentral:lncRNA from 1 species